CAGGCUUAACACAUGCAAGUCGAGGGGCAGCAUGGUCUUAGCUUGCUAAGGCCGAUGGCGACCGGCGCACGGGUGAGUAACACGUAUCCAACCUGCCGUCUACUCUUGGACAGCCUUCUGAAAGGAAGAUUAAUACAAGAUGGCAUCAUGAGUCCGCAUGUUCACAUGAUUAAAGGUAUUCCGGUAGACGAUGGGGAUGCGUUCCAUUAGAUAGUAGGCGGGGUAACGGCCCACCUAGUCUUCGAUGGAUAGGGGUUCUGAGAGGAAGGUCCCCCACAUUGGAACUGAGACACGGUCCAAACUCCUACGGGAGGCAGCAGUGAGGAAUAUUGGUCAAUGGGCGAGAGCCUGAACCAGCCAAGUAGCGUGAAGGAUGACUGCCCUAUGGGUUGUAAACUUCUUUUAUAAAGGAAUAAAGUCGGGUAUGGAUACCCGUUUGCAUGUACUUUAUGAAUAAGGAUCGGCUAACUCCGUGCCAGCAGCCGCGGUAAUACGGAGGAUCCGAGCGUUAUCCGGAUUUAUUGGGUUUAAAGGGAGCGUAGAUGGAUGUUUAAGUCAGUUGUGAAAGUUUGCGGCUCAACCGUAAAAUUGCAGUUGAUACUGGAUAUCUUGAGUGCAGUUGAGGCAGGCGGAAUUCGUGGUGUAGCGGUGAAAUGCUUAGAUAUCACGAAGAACUCCGAUUGCGAAGGCAGCCUGCUAAGCUGCAACUGACAUUGAGGCUCGAAAGUGUGGGUAUCAAACAGGAUUAGAUACCCUGGUAGUCCACACGGUAAACGAUGAAUACUCGCUGUUUGCGAUAUACAGCAAGCGGCCAAGCGAAAGCGUUAAGUAUUCCACCUGGGGAGUACGCCGGCAACGGUGAAACUCAAAGGAAUUGACGGGGGCCCGCACAAGCGGAGGAACAUGUGGUUUAAUUCGAUGAUACGCGAGGAACCUUACCCGGGCUUAAAUUGCAGAUGAAUUACGGUGAAAGCCGUAAGCCGCAAGGCAUCUGUGAAGGUGCUGCAUGGUUGUCGUCAGCUCGUGCCGUGAGGUGUCGGCUUAAGUGCCAUAACGAGCGCAACCCUUGUUGUCAGUUACUAACAGGUUCCGCUGAGGACUCUGACAAGACUGCCAUCGUAAGAUGUGAGGAAGGUGGGGAUGACGUCAAAUCAGCACGGCCCUUACGUCCGGGGCUACACACGUGUUACAAUGGGGGGUACAGAGGGCCGCUACCACGCGAGUGGAUGCCAAUCCCCAAAACCUCUCUCAGUUCGGACUGGAGUCUGCAACCCGACUCCACGAAGCUGGAUUCGCUAGUAAUCGCGCAUCAGCCACGGCGCGGUGAAUACGUUCCCGGGCCUUGUACACACCGCCCGUCAAGCCAUGGGAGCCGGGGGUACCUGAAGUGCGUAACCGCGAGGAGCGCCCUAGGGUAAAACUGGUGACUGGG
rnacentral:rRNA from 1 species